ACAGGUGGGGUGUCUGAGGACCAAACAUACAGAGGGCACAGUCAGUGUUGUUCUGCAGCCUGCCUCGCAGCCCGCUACCCACAGCUCCGCCUGGCUGCCUCCCGCCGUUGCUGCUGCUGCCGUUCCUGCUGCUGCUGCUGCUCGCGCUGCUGCUGCCUUCCCUCUCGCCGCCGCUCUGCCUCUUUAAGCACAAAAACCUCAUCCGCACAAGUGUCUGCAGAGUUAUUUCUGCGGUGCUGGUGUGUGGUGGUAAGUGAGCUUCCACCACCUCCUGUCAUCACUACUACGCCGCUUCUGAUGGACCUCUGUUGGACGCCGCCGCCGCCACCACCACCACCUCUGCUUAGCAGACGAAAUAGCAUUUGUCCCCUUCUUGUUUCGGCUGAGGUAACGGGUUUAAAGUGGAGGUGUUGUUGACGUCCCCUUGACAGUUACAAGCGAUCGUGACGCUUAGUAAGGAAUACACCCAGGAUUUACAGCCCAAACAGUUACAUUAACAUCUUUCAAAAGGAAAUUUGACGUGUCUGGACCCUAUUUUAAACAUUAAGUGGACCUUUUGAAUAGACGAAAAAACCAAAAUGACUGUCUGAGAAUCGUGUGCAGUUCCAUACAGAGUUAUCUGUGCGAAGGGAAAAUUUUUAGUAAGACACAUUUGUAAUCGGCGUAUCAAAAUAGAAGAAAAAAAUCGGCGAGUGAGCAGCACUACCAGACGAAGGAAGUGUCGCCUCGGCACACCUGUAGCAGCAGAGUAACACUUGUUGAAGUCAGACGAGCCACACCUGUUGAAGCAGACGACGAGUAGUAGCGCCACGCCCACACACCUGACGAAAGGAGACCCGCUAGUGGUUCCUGCUCCAGCGCUGCAGGAGUUUGUACCACUUCUGAGGAAGGAUACGACAGUGGCAAUGAACGGAUACCAGAUCCCAGGUAGGAACGGGAGUAAAGGUGCAGCAGGCGGGAUUAUCGACCCUACCGACGGGGUUCUGGCAUUAGGAUCGCCUCCGCCGGUGCAGCAGGCGACAGAGGAGUGCUGAGAUGACCCCGUUGGUUUUCUUCAGUCGAUCGGGAAAUGAUUCGACCAUUACCUCCGCAGGCACUGAGCUGGACGACCCAUCGAGUCGGUGCUGGGUCACUGGACACAUAGUGUUCAAGAAAUGGACCAUAAAGGUGACCACAGACUUCGUUGCAUUUGGUUUGAUCAUCGUCUGUGUGAAUGGCCAGCUACCAGAAGCACUUGCAACUCAGCCUCAGCUUGGCAACUACAUCAUCAAACUAUUUACAUUGCAAGUUGCUCGUCUUGCAUUAUCUCCGCUUUGUUAUGCAC